UUCUGCUUUACUUGCCCCUUUUCAGGAAAUGACAACAGGAAAACCAUGCAUAAAUUGGAAGGUAUGGCAAGGCAGCCACAGUAGUUCUUGAGAGUUAGGUAAGUCAAGUCUUAGUUUUGGUGCAUAGGGUCAUCUAGUCUGUUCAUACCUGCCCUGAGGCUUGUCCCAACCAUAGCAUAAGGGCCAGUCCUACUAUUAGGCAGAGUGAGGAAGCUACAAGGCGGUGGUGCCCUUCAGCUCUUCCUCCUGAGUUCCCUGAGCAUACCCUUCUGCUGGAGAAUAGAGCUGUGUGUCAUGCACCUUGCCCUCCACCUUUGUAAUCUUACCAACCAUUUGCAAUGAACCUCAACAGUCAGAGGAUAUGGAUUAACAGGCUAUCUGCAACAUGGUUACUUAGCAAUACACAUUUACUUGCAUGUGAAUGAGAAACAGGAAAAAGCCCCCACAUCCAUUUAUGGAACUUUGAACACCAAAUAAUAAUAAUGAUUUUAUUAUUUAUACCUCGCCCAUCUGGCUGGGUUCCCCAGCCACUCUGGGUGGCUCCCAACAGAAUAUUAAAAACACAAUAAAACAUCAAACAUUAAAAACUUCCCCAUACAGGGCUGCCAUCCAAUGUCUUCUAAAAGUCAUAUAGUUGUUUAAUUCCUUGACAUCUGAUGGGAGGGCAUUCCACAGUGUGGGCGCCACUGCCGAGAAGGCCCUCUGCCUUGUUCCCUGUACCCUCCCUUCUCGCAAGGAGGGAACCGCCAGAAGGCCCUCAGUGUCCAGUUUAUUUUAUUCCACAUGAGUAAUUCUAUCUGAUUUUUUUUUGUGAUGUGUGUGUAUCUCGGUUAUUCUACAAUAUUGCUUGUAUGGUGCUGCCCUGGGCUCCUUUGGGAAAAACUGUGGGAUAUAAAUUUAGUAAAUGAAAUGUAGAAAUAAUAACUAAAUUCUGGUGAUUUCCAGAAUGCCCAUUAGCAACACAGUUUCCUCACCCUUAUCAAAAAAUGACAAUGCAAAGCCCGCUGGUAUCAACUGGGGACUUACCACCUUCUUUUCCACUGGAGUCUUUUGUGUGUUUGCAUAUUCCAUAUUGUUUCAGAAUCAAUUAAGGGGAAUAGUCAAUGAGCUGGUAGCUGCGGGCUGCGCUCACGCUGAAGAGGUUUGGCAAAAUGAUUUCGCCUGGGCUCUGACAGGAAAUGCAUGAGUCAUACUUUGAAGCCAAUUGCUUUACAAAUUUGCUCUUUGGCUGCACAUCAACACACUCGCUUGGGCCACGUUUCGCAAGAUGGACAGCUAUAAGCCACGUUGCCUGACAAAAGUGUCUAUAUAAGCAGUCGUUCUGAAGUGCUGAUUCUGUUAUUUGAUUUGAGGAUUAAACAUGCAGUUGCAAGCCAUCUGUUUCCCUGGGUUGACGUCCUUGAGAGGUUAGAUUUCUACAGAUAAUGCCUCAUAAAUGCAAGUGGUAUUUUGAGAGAUCGGAAUUAGCUGAGACAUAUGCCACUGAAAUUAUCUGCCUUAUCCUGGAGAACUGCUUACAUUUUGACAUCCCUGCCCAAACUGAAAAGAGAAGUUUACUCUCAUUGUUGCUGAUUUAGAACCCUGCUGCUUUCUGGCCAAAUGCCACGAGACUGAGACAGUACAUUUUCAGUUAGUACAUGAAAAGCUCUGCUAACUAUUCAAGCUGUGGCUCUCUUCAGGAUCUUCCUUCAAGUGAUGCCUGGGAACAGGAAAAAAUCCUUUCAGCUUCUAUUAUCAGAGCGGCCUCUCACGUUGGGCCAACAGGAACCAGAAGGUAGGUGAGAAGCUAUUGCCGCUGAGCACACUUGAAAUCAGAUGGAUUUCUCUCAGUGUAAUCCAGGGAUUGCCAACCUUUUGGGGACCGUUUGAAAAGCUGCUAUGGCCACCACUCGCACAUCCUGCAAAUGAGCACAGAUCUAUUACCUAUAGCAUAAUGAUUAUUUCAAGCCUAUUUUCAUUGAGUAGAGGACACCCUGUGGGUGCCAGGGAUGGCUUGUGUGGGCCCAUGUAUCCUUUAAUACAUACAUGUUUCAGUAUACUGGGGGUAGAAUCACUAUUUGCUAAUAACCAAGAAAGUUUAUUACCAGGGCCGAUUCUACCAUUGGGCAGAGUGAAGUGACCACAUCAGGGCAGGGAACUGCUGUGAGUUGUUGCAGGAUGGAGCUUUGUGACCACAUGCCCUGCUUUUCACCCUCUGAGUUGUCCUGCGUUGCACCUGGCAGCAGGGCAGCAGGCUUCCUCUCCUCAGUGUUGAAGAAAGGCUCAGCUUUCAACCCAGCCAGUCUUGGACAUGGAAUAGAAGAGGCAGCAAAGUGUAUUGGGCUGAUAGUUACAAAGGUUGCUUAGGGUGGACAUAAGCCUGUAGGCAGGGCUGACCCAAUAUAUUUUACUGCCUGAGAAGAAGCUGUCCUCACAGAGGAGGGUCUGGCACCUUCUGUGGGAGAAAUUCCCCCUGGGGGUUUAAAUACAAGGCUCAAACCAAUUUCCCAACCAGUCAGACUUUAUCCAGUAAUGCAUUGCAGGUCAGAGUUCGAAGAGUCUGCAAGAACAUUUGCAUUAGGACACACACUAUAUAGGCAAAAUAUGUCUUCUGCCACCCUGGCACAUCAGCAUCUCUCAACCAACCACAGUCCCUGAAAGACAACCCAUUUUUACUGCAUGCAUCAGAAGCUUCCUUGUACCUUAUGUGGAGUUGUUUUUCACUUUAACAUUCAAGCCGCUUAACAGGUUCUUACCAGGUUUGUGGUUGGGCCAUGCUGUUGCAUAUGAGACACUGGUCUUACUGAUAAGGAGUUUAACAGAAAUCCCAUGCCACUUCCCUGCAAAGCUUUUGUCACAUGCUGAAGAUGCACACACAUACCUACCCUUUUCUUCUGAUUGAAAAUUGGUUUUAAAUUAUUUUAAAAUUGUAUUUUUAUACUGUUGUAACCCACCCUGGGCCCUUAUGUUUAAUGGUGGGGAAAAUAAACAACAUAAAAUAAAAUUGGAUCCAAAGAGCUUUAAAGCUAAUAAUAAUAAUAAUAAUAAUAAUAAUAAUAAUAAUAAUUUAUUAUUUAUACCCCGCCCAUCUGGUUGGGUUUCCCCAGCCACUCCUCUGGGCAGCUUCCAACAAAAUAUUAAAAUGCAAUAAUCCAUCAAAUAUUAAAAACUUCCCUAAACAGGGCUGCCUUCAGAUGUCUUUUAAAAGUCUGGUAGUUGUUUUUCUCUUUGAUAUCUGGUGGGAGGACGUUCCACAGGGCGGGUGCCACUACCGAGAAGGCCCUCUGCCUGGUUCCCUGUAACUUGGCUUCUCGCAAUGAGGGAACCGCCAGAAGGCGCUUGGUGCUGGAUCUCAGUGUCCAGGCUGAACGAUGGGGGUGGAGAUAGUCCUUCAGCUAACACCUUGAACCUAGGAAACUGCCUUAUACUGAGUCAGACAAUUGAUCUACCUAGCGCCAUAUUGUCUACACCAGUGUUUCCCAACCUUUUUCUGACAGUGGCCCCCAUCCAACCUCGUUUCCUUCUUGUGGCCCCACCCCGUCCUGCCGAUAGAAAGGUAGCUAUUAAAAUGUUUUGUUUGUUAACAGAACAUGUCUUAUUUAUAAUUUUUAUAGUUUAUACAAAAUACAAUCACAUAAAAGGAUAGGAUCAUCAUGAAAUAUUGUUGAAGCAGAAAAACAUAGAAUCCUAGAGCUGGAAUGGUCAUCUUUCUAAUGCAACCCCCUGCAACGUAGGAAACUCAGCUAAAGCUAAUUGCUCCCUCCCCCAAUCUCUUGUUUGCUCAUCUUCCCUCUAGGUGGCUUCAUCAGGCGAGCGUUUGCUGCUCCCCCUCAGCUCCUUCCAGUGCCAUCCGUCUUCAUGGCCUUGUGCCGCUUGGCAUGUAGCACAAGCGCUGCUUUAACUGUCAGUCACCAUGAGCUACUCUCGGAAAGAGGCUUACCAGCUCAUAAACUGAAAGCAAUCCUAUUUACUGCCAUUUCUAGAUUCAUAGAUUGCUUGCAGCUUGUUACUGUUCUAGUAACACUUUCCCACCCCCCCACCCCCACCGUGGGCCAGACAUCUCAGGUACUUUCCGUUUUUCCUGACAAUAGUUAGGUAGUUCGAAUGGCCACAUGCAACCUGCAUUGUUUCAUCUUGUGUAAUGGGAUUGAAUUUAAGUGUGUGUUUGUGUGUGCAUAUAUAUAUAUACACACACACACACAUAGUCCGAUUGCCACACAAUACAUAGUGCAUAUUCGGGUCCAAAAUAAUUUUAAUGGUCAAAAUGGUGGUGUGUUACAGCUAGACUCCCCCCCCCCCUUUUGGAGGAAUGUUAAGGGAAUUUGUGGGGCUUAAAAAAAAAAAUCUAGAAAGGGUUAAUUGGCUUCCUUUAUAUUCCUCUCUCUGGUGACUUUUCUCAGUCAGCAUUAUUCAGUUCUGCUUCCACUCUGCAGACCGCUGAUGGUAGAUGUAUAUUCUGAAAAUAAACUUGAAUCUAUUAAAGUGGCUAACAUACAGUGAUGUCCCUGUUUUGUAAAUUGAGUUCAGGCAUAGGCUAUCUAUCUGUUUGGCAGCCGCAGAGGUGUCUUUUUUUGUUUGAAUUUUACUGUUUAAGAUUGCUGAGUUGCUUUUGAAGGUGGAGUGGGGUCAGGGUGGUAUCAGAUUCACACAUUACUGUCUUUACUAAAUUUAUAUGAAUGGCCUCCUCUGAAGAUUGAGGAACUUGAGACUAGCAUUUCUGAAGCUUUUCUGACUUUCAGGGAUAUGAUCGGGGUGGUGGCAGCAGGUGACGGGGCGGGUGGGGGGAGCUGAAGUUUGGGGGCAAAAUGAGGAAUUCUGUUUUGUUUUAGUUAUUCACCUAGAUUAAUUUAUGUCCUAUUUUCCCCCAGACUUAACGGACCUGACGCGUGUUACAAAGUACAGAUAGACAAUGAAAUCACAAUAAAACCAACGGUGAUCCAUAAAUAACACCCACACAUUAUCAGACCUUCAGCACAUUAAAAGAUAGUCCCAGCUAAGGGCACAUAAUUUCAUAUUUUUAUUUUUUAAAAGUUAAUUAUUUAUAAAGCGUCUCCAGUUUGAAUAUGUCAGUGGACUUUGUGUAAGGAUGCCCUCAAAGUUGCUUAAAAUUCCCAGUGUGUGUGUUUAAUAUAGUGUGCCUGAGGUUCUUAUUCCCACUUGGACUAUAUCAAGCCUAUCUCGGUAGCACAUUCAUCAUAGCAAUAGCUGCAAACUAAUUCUAAAGCAUUAAAGCAAAAUUGUAUGGCAUAAUAAAGGGGCAGUCCCCCCACCCCCAUUUUCUAUUAAAGUACUGAUGUUACAUCAGGGAGAAGAGUCAUCAUUCUUAAGAGAGAGUUUGCAUUUCCCAGGGCCUCAUGUUUGCCUGUCAGGCCAAUCCAACAUGUCUCAAACCAUCAUAAAACAUUGUAUGGCACAAGAAGCAGAUAGGACCAAGACACACCCCCAAGUCUCUUGAAACCCUGGAGCAGAGGCAGUUUUAGGGCAGCGUGACCAGUUUUCCCACACUGGGUGCUGAGUGGAGAGGGCACCUGGUAAGCACUUGCCUGGCUACAGGAAGGAGGUGUGAGGGCACUGAGAGGGUCGAGUUCUCCCUCCUUCUCUCCAAAAACUAGUUAGUGCUUGCUCAGCUUUGGGAAGAAGCAGGGUUUUUUCCCACCUGGAACUUAUCAGAACUCCAUUCUGGGACCUCUCAGGUGGGCACCAUUGCCAUUAUAAGAGAACAAGGGUGGUGUUCAUGGUGAGUUCCAGCAUCUCUUUUUCGGGGGGGGGGAGCACUGGGAAUGAGAAGGGAGGGCUCUAGGACCCUGCCAGAGCCUCGUACAUCUUUCCCAAAGACCAGCAUGGCACAAGGGUUGGAGGCACCAACUUUAGGCCCAGCUCAGGGCACCAAUAGUAGCAAAGUCCGCCCCUACCUGGAGGGCUCUUACCAGACAGGAUAGAUGAAUACAUGAUAUCAGAAAUAUACAGGUCUGAUUGAUUCAUUUUAUGAAAGUUUGCCUUCUAUUCCCCAACACUGGCAUAUAAGUGGGAGCCUUAGGCUGAAGGUUAUCAAGCACCAGUUCAUCUCUAUGACACCAUUCAAGGGUCACGGGGUGGUUUACUAUAUAAUAACACAAAAAUACAUACCAUAGUAAUGAACAAAAGCAAUUACUCCCCCACCCCAGUUUAGAUUAUUCAAGAAGCCAAAGGCCUGGGAAAAGAGGAUGUUUUUGCCUGGCACUUAAAGAUAUGUAAUGAAGGCACUAGCUGAACCUCCCUGGAGAGAGCAUUCCAUAAAUGAGGAGCCACUGCAGAAAAGGCCCGUUCUCAUGUUGCCACCCUAUGGACCUCACACAGAGGAAGUACAUGAAGAAGGGCCUCAGAAGAUGAUCUCAGGGUCCAGGUUGGUUCAUAUGGAGAGCGGCAGCCUCUGAGCUAUCGCAGUCCUGAGCCAUUUAAGGCUUUAUAGGUCAAAAGCAGCACUUAGAAUUGGACCCAGAAACUAAUUGGUAGCCAGUGCAGUUGGGACAGGAUUGGUGUUUCAUGCUCAAACCAUCUUGUCCUGGCGAGUGAACUGACCACUGAAUUCUGCACUAGCUGCAGUUUCUAAACUGUCUUCAGAAGCAGCCUCACAUAUAACAUAUUGCAGUAAUAUAACCUUCAAUGCAGUAUUUCAAUUAAUGUGACUAGUAAACACAAAUACCACUCAUACCCCAUUUACCUCCAUAGGACCUGCACCUGAAAAUCUCCUGAAAGCUGUGUAAUAUCUUUUUGCUUGAUACUCCACACACACACUUUUAUUUCUAAGUUUUGGAAAAGUAUUGGACAUGUGCUCAAAGUACAGGAGGACCCACAAGCUCAAGUUUGGUCCCAUUGUAACCAAAAUAUGCUCCCCACCCUGUAGCCUUUAAGCAUAGCUUCCAACUUUUCUGAUGUGAAAAAGAUGUGCAUAUUCUGGGACGCACUCCUGGGUGAGUCUUGUAAUCCAUGCCUCACUCUCCCCCCCCCCAUGUGCUUUUCGUGGGGCAAAAGUGAGGAACAUGAGCAUGAGAGAUUGCAGCACUCAAAAUGGCCACAGAAAUCUUGUGGGGGGGGGGACCACAAUGUCCUGUUUUUUCUGGGGCACUUGGAAGGUUGCUUUAAGGAUAGUAUCUAGGAGGGCUUUCUCAGAACAUAAAGGGACUGGGAUCCCUUAUAACUCAUGCUCUGGAUAUAAACCUAACACAAAAUGUGACUGCCCUAUAUGCUGUAGUACAUCCAUAUAGUCAUCUAAUGGUGGAGCGGAUGGGUUAUUCUUCCUCAGUUAUUCUUCCCUAAACGUGACUCAUAGUUUUUAAUCUAUAAACUAGAGAAAUGCCCUCCCACAUACUGAAAAGCCACUCCACUCACCGUGUCCUCUUAAAAAAAUAUGAAAAAAUGAAACGCCAGCCCUACUUUUUGCUCACCCCGGGCAACAAAAAUUUGGAGAAGUUGGAAUGAAAAACGAAUUCAGUGUCUCAUUGCUGGAAUCUUUCUUGAAGUGAAGUGGAAGCCUUCAUUCAUCGACCUAAUGAAUUGAAAAUCCUGCUGACCGGUUCCAUUUUGGUCAAGGGCCAGGAGCGGUGUGAGUCUGCUCUCCUUUUAUGCGUAUGCGUAUGUCCCAUUAAUGUUAAUGAGAAGGGUGUCUCGCUGUCACUAUGAAAACAUUUUUGCCUUUUCCUUUCUUCCCUUGAGCUCUCUGCCGGGCUCUUUUGUCAUUGAAAACCUAUUCCACCCCCUGUUCAUUGUGAUGGGGGAAUAAAGGGAAGGACAAAGCUUAAGAGCACGAAAGCAAUUUUUGGUUGGGUGUGGCUAUGUAUACGGCAUUGCCGCCUUCUGCCCAUCACUUCUCUAAACAGAAUCACAUAGCAACCCAGUUCCCCCCCAUCACACACACACAGACACAUACACUAGCUGCACCCCUGCUGCUCCCCACUUGCAUUCUCAUGGACAUUUGCUACCAAAUUGUGACACGAGGGCACAGAAAACCAAGCUGCUGUACUCUUGUGAAUGCUUCCAAGUUAAAACAUUCCUGGCCAGUUCAAUGGGAUUUAUACAGUGGUACCUUGGGUUACAUGGGACGUAGGUAGCGCUGCAGGUUAAACCACAGAGCCUAGGACUUGCCGAUCAGAAGGUCGGCGGUUCUAAUCUCUGUGACAGGGUGAGCUCCCGUUGCUCGGUCCCAGCUCCUGCCAACCUAGCAGUUCGAAAGCACGAAGUGCAAGUAGAUAAAUAGGUACUGCUCUGGCGGGAAGGUAAACGGCAUUUCCAUGCGCUGCUCUGGUUCGCCAGAAGCGGCUUAGUCAUGCUGGCCACAUGACCCGGAAGCUGUACGCUGUCUCCCUUGGCCAAUAAAGCGAGAUGAGCACCGCAACCCCAGAGUCGGCCACGACUGGACCUAAUGGUCUGGGGUCCCUUUACCUUGGGUUACAGACGCUUCAGGUUACAGAGACUUCAGGUUACAGAGGCUUCAGGUUACAGACUCCGCUAACCCAGAAAUAGUACCUCGGGUUAAGAACUUUGCUAAAGGAUGAGAACAAAAAUUGCGUGGCGGUGGCGUGGCGGCAGCGGGAGGCCCCAUUAGCUAAAGUGGUACUUCAGGUUAAGAACAGUUUCAGGUUAAAAAUGGACCUGCAGAACGAAUUAAGUUCUUAACCCGAGGUACCACUUUAUAAAGCUCUUACUAGUGUUGUAGGUUCUGUACAAAGACUGCAUACACACCAUACAUUUAAAACACUUUAUCCCCCACCCCCCAAAAAAUCCUGGGAACUAUAGUUAUCCUUUACAGAGCCACAUUUCCCAGCACCCUUAACAAACUGCAGUUCCACAUAGGGUGUUUACACAGCCAAAGGUUAGCAAACAGCAUAGGCUGUGCUCAUUGGGCUUACAAUCUAACAGAGCCAAUAUAAAAGCUUCUGGCAGCAGGACGCUCCCUUACGCUGAAGCCAGUGUUAGAAACUCUCAGCUCCCAAACGCCUUAGGCGUCGAACAUUCUGGCUCCUGAACGAUUGAAAAGCGGAAGCGAGUGUUCUGGUUUUCAAACAUUCUUUUGGAAGCCAAACAUCUGACGGGGCUUCCACGGCUUCCGAUUGGCUGCAGGAAGCUCCUGCAGCCAAUCGGAAGCCGCCCUUUGGUUUCCAAACAUUUCAGAAGUCAGACAGACUUUCAGAAUGGAUUCCAUGAGACUUCCGAGGUACGACUGUAUAAGCCAUGCACCAAAUGGCUCCUUAAACCAGGGUUACAGUUGCCAAAACGGAAUGCCUUAGGCCAGACAGCUCUAAAGUUGUAUUUUUUAAUAUGGCUUUCUGGUUCCUGAAAUUCAAUCUGGUUGUGCAGACAAAAUAUAAUGUAUAGAAUUCUACAGGAUGUGGUGCUAGUGGGUGAAUACAGUCAAGAUCUCUAGGCGUGCACCUCCAAAUGGUGGAGACAUUAGGCGCUAUCCUGGCACCCAGGCAUGUACACUUGGUCGCAAGUGGCCGAUAGCCUGUUGCAAAAUGCACCAUGCAAAUUUCAAAUGCUGAUUGGAGCCCCUUCCAUGCACAAAGGACCCUUGCUCUUUGUGGAAGGGCAACUCACAAUCCAAUCCACUGUGUAGUUCUACUCCUCGGCACGCCCUGUUGCUCAGUUUUAUCCCCACCGACUGCAGUAUGACAAGAAUGACAACUGCCAGCUUUAAAUGGUUGCGACGAGGAUUUUGAGAUGGUACAUAUGAACAGAAGAAACCUUGGUAUGAAGCGGUAUAUAAAUGUAAGGCAUAACUAAACAACGAACAUUCUAAAGCCCCUUAGCCAUGUUAGGGACAAGAAUUAUUACAAUUACUGCGUGUAACCCAAACCAGACUGGUUCUCCUUUAAAUAAAUUAAUAUGUCUCAUCGCAUUUGAAAAUUAUGAAAACCGGUAAGGUACGUUGCUGGCGUCAGUCUGCCUUAGGAGACAAUGGAAGAGGGCACCUUUGGGGGAUGUAGUCAAACUGUUGGAGAGUUACAGCGCCUGCUGUGGUAUGUUGUGCCAAUAUACAGUAAUUAAAAAGUUAUACGGCUUAAUUUCAUUUUCACUGCCUAGUCUGUGAUCAAAACUUUGCAAAUACAGUAUAUUAAACACACAUCUACAGUAUGUGCUGUUUAUUGGGCACCGCAUUGAUAUAAUUGCAAGGCAUGUGUCCACACACACCUAGAUUUUGAAUGGAAGUAUGAAUAUUAUUAAGAUAUGUCCUCUACUUCCUUGCAUGUACUUUAAUUCCCCCCCCCUCCUUUAACUGCAAGGAGAAGCCAUCAUAAAGGAAUCCCUGCCUUGCUCUGGGUAUAAUAGAAGGUGCCUUCAUGUUCUAACACCUUGCCAGUUGGAGAACUAAAAUAAACCUAAAGGAAGAAAAGCUCCAUUUACCACAGAAACCCCUAGUGAGAUCGAAACUGUAGUUCAUUUCUUCCAAUAAUAAUAAAAAAGACACAUCAGUGCCCUUCUUACUGGCAACUUUUUCUCUCUCCCUUUGCCAUUGGAAGGCAGAAUAAGGGAGGCAAAGCAGUAUAUUUAAUUGUAACCUGCUAUCUUAGAGUUUUCUACUCUCCUGCUUGCUUUAGCUUAGCGGGACAUCCUGCUCUAUUUUAUCCGACUAACAAGGACCAUGAGUAAAGCAGCUAGAGCUAGGGGUUAAAUUUCUACCUUAAAAAAAAAGAAGAAGAAACCUCCUUCAAUGUAUUCCAUGAAGGAUAGCAAUAUGGGAUGCUACUUGACCUUCUCAUUGUUCUAUAAUUUGAUUGGCUGGAUGCUGUUUGUGCUCUUUUCCCAGUCUCAGCAUCUUGCAGUGCGAAGGAGGGAGAGGCGCUUAGACAAUGACCAAGCCCAAUGCAGGAGAUUUUGCACAGAGCUAGAAAAAGAAGGAAAACCCUCCAUAUAUCUUGAAACAAUGAGUUGUUCCUUGAUAAAACAAGGAAAGUGUUGAUAGCCCUCCACUUAAGAAUGAGAGGACACUUGGGCGAAAUUAAAGAGAAGAUCUAGC